rnacentral:lncRNA from 1 species
GGUCGCUGCGCCUCGGUGGUGGUCACGCCCGGCCAGCUGUGGCCGCAUCCCUGUCGGCUAGCUCGGGUCUGGCCCACGGUGACUGUUACCCCUGGGGAAUGGGGCAGCUCUGAUCCAUCCAACGCUGCUGCACUGGAGACUGGGAUAUGUCUUAUGCCUUGGACCUUGACAGUGACCAUGGCCAGGUGCCCUUCUCUGCCUUGCCCUGACCCUGAUCUUCACUGUUUUCCAAAAUGAGUUCAUUAAGAAAAUGAUUGGGCAGAGUAAUAGCUGGGGAUUACGUUGCUCUUGUCAAUAAGUUCUGGUUUUCACUUCUUUCUAGGGUCAGAAAUCAGGAGUGAGGACUUGUUGAAAGAAAUAGGAAGGAAUCAGAUCACAUAAAUGCUGGCCCCAAAUGUUUGCAUCAUAAACCCAUUGCCUAAUUUUACAGUUGAGAAAAUAAAGCUCUCUAAAUAACCACAAAGCUCCUACUCCUACUUCAGACAUAUCAGAAAAAUGAGAUAAUAAUGCACAAACCAAGUUUCAAAAGCUCUAUGGUAGGUCUGGAGAGAUGGAGAUCAGUUCUUGUCUGUCAGCCCCUGUUCUUCCAUUCUUAUAAGGUUACAGAAUCUCUAGCAAGGGACAUGACAGCUCAGGGAAAAAGCACACAUUUCCCAGCAUUCUUUAAGGCAAAGUGUGUCCAUGUGACCAACUUCUGGCAAACAGGCUGUAAGAAAAUGUGAUGCUGUGUCCUUAAAGACAAGGGACAUGCCCUCCCUGCCCCCAAACCUUCAUCGACCAGGUGGAAUGUUGACAAGGGAGAGCAUCAGAGCAUCUUGGACCAUGUGAAUAAGGGUGUGGCUGCUGGGGAUGACAGAGCAACUAAAAGGAGGAGGCACAGAGCUGCUAUAUCAGCCCCAGAUGGCUUACUUUCUGAUGAUACAUGAGAGAGAAAUAAACUUUCAUCAAAUUUAAACCACAUUUAUUUGGGUUCUUCAAAUUAAUUUCCAAGCCCAUAGCCUAACUAAUACCCCUAGAAAUGAGGAAGGAUGGAAAAAUCAC